UACGUAGGGGGGCGAGCGUUGUCCGGAUUCAUUGGGCGUAAAGCGCUUUAAGGCGGUUCGGUAAGUCGGGUGUGAAACCUCCAGGCUCAACCUGGAGACGCCACUCGAUACUGCUGUGACUAGAGUCCGGAGAGGGAGAGUGGAAUUCCUGGUGUAGCGGUGAAAUGCGCAGAUAUCAGGAGAACACCAGUGGCGAAGGCAGCUCUCGUCGGACGUACUGACGCUGAGACGACGAAGCGUGGGGAGCGAACAGG
rnacentral:rRNA from 1 species